rnacentral:tRNA from 1 species
GGCCCCAUGUCUUAGUUGGCUAAAGCACCUGCCUCCUAAACAGGAGAUUCUGGGUUCCAGUCCCACUGGUGCCU